rnacentral:rRNA from 1 species
UACGAAGGGGGCGAGCGUUGUUCGGAUUUACUGGGCGUAAAGGGCGCGUAGGCGGCUAUUCAAGUCAGGCGUGAAAGCCCCGGGCUCAACCUGGGAGGUGCGCUUGGGACUGGGUGGCUGGAGUUCGGGAGAGGAGAGUGGAAUUCCCAGUGUAGAGGUGAAAUUCGUAGAUAUUGGGAAGAACACCGGUGGCGAAGGCGGCGCUCUGGACCGAGACUGACGCUGAGGCGCGAAAGCGUGGGGAGCAAACAGG